UGGCGAACGGGUGAGUAACACGUGGGUGAUCUGCCUUGCACUUCGGGAUAAGCCUGGGAAACUGGGUCUAAUACCGGAUAGGACGAUGGUUUGGAUGCCAUUGUGGAAAGUUUUUUCGGUGUGGGAUGAGCUCGCGGCCUAUCAGCUUGUUGGUGGGGUAAUGGCCUACCAAGGCGUCGACGGGUAGCCGGCCUGAGAGGGUGUACGGCCACAUUGGGACUGAGAUACGGCCCAG
rnacentral:rRNA from 1 species